UUUGUUUGUUUGUUUUUUAAAUUACAGAUGGGUCAGUUAAGCAUUCUCUGUAUUGAAUGACUCAGUUAGGUCCAAAAUAAGCAUUCCAUCAUGCAAAUAACACUGUUUGUAGAAAUUCAUAUUUGUAGAUUUAGGGUGUAACUGGUGAUCAAGGAAUGAAAGAGAAUAAUGCAUUUUUUAUUUUUCCUAAUUUUUUUUACUAUUUACAAGGAAUUAUUUUUCUUUUGCAUUCCUUCUCAUUCUUUUUAUUUUAGAGGAAUAUAGACAAAUUUGUUCCUACUAAAAUUGAUAAGAAAUCAUUUUCCUUUUUAUUCUUCUAAUAUUAUUCCUCUGUAUUUUUUCCCUACUCAUUCCUAAUAUUCCUAUAAUAGUCACCAGUUAGACCCUUAAUAAAACAAAAUUGCGGAUGUUUGGAUAUAUCUAGACCGCACCCCCCGCGACCCACUCACCUCCACCGCCUCUAGAGGUUCUCCGACUCAGCUCCAUCUGCCAUCCUCAAAGGAGACCGAAAACCGAGAGUCAGACCGCCGAAGGUCCAGAUAUAAGGAGACCAACCCCUCCACGUCAUGUUAUCACCAAGAUUAAACCCGAAACUGUCGUGUCACUUCCACCGAAGAACACUCGACCACCAUGAGCAAGAAGAAAAGAGCCAGAGAGAGCUUGGGGUCCAUGCGCCAUCACCGAUCCCUCAGAUCUGAUGCAUGUAGCUAGAGAUCCGGCCAAAACUCCUUACCACCACCGUGCAAACACCACUGCUACCGCCUUGAAAGCUCCACCCUCAAGCCACCGUCUCAGGUAUCGAAAAGCGGAAGAGAAGAGACGAAGAAGAGAGCCCUCUCACAGCGGAAUCUGGCCGAGGCCGGUUGCCAGGAAGCGUAACUUAGAGCACCAUAAAUCGUUUUUUUAGAGGAGGAGGAAGGAGAGAGAAAUUGACUAAUCUAAUAUGUAAAAAAAAAUUAAGAAAACGGAGUGUAGCUACGAUGCCCCGGCCCAUAGACCUGGAAUGUAUGUGAUUCGGCUGUAUUUUACGAGUUGAAGAAAUUAAUUUCAGAGGUUGUGGACACUCAAUGCUACCGUGAAGGGGAUCAGUAGAAGCAAUUGAUUCGACAUGCGAAACUAGAUGGAAAAAUAAUAAAUAUGAAACAAAUGUAUUCUAAUUCCCAUUAACUUUUUAUCAAAAAAAAACCCCAUUAACUUGGUCCAAGUCCCAUAGAAUUUAGAGAAAAUUUCGGUUAGUUUUGUACCACCACGAGUUUUCCAAAGCAUAUGUUAUCCUCACUUUCGAUUAUAUUGAGUUUUGUGCUUUCAAUACUUUUAUAUUUCAUAAAGUUUUACAAUAAACCAUAAAC
rnacentral:lncRNA from 1 species